UGGACAGGGGGGUUCCCGCUCUCACCGAGUGGGGCCUGUCCAACGCAGGCCACGCGAAACGCGUGGCCCAUGGUUGUCGCUCGGGGGUGAUCGCCG
rnacentral:sRNA from 12 species